rnacentral:rRNA from 1 species
AGCGCGGUGACGUGUGGAGCUGACUGAUACUAAUCGAUCGAGGACUUAACCUAA